ACGGGUGCGUAACGCGUGGGAAUCUGCCCUUUGGUUCGGAAUAACAGUUGGAAACGACUGCUAAUACCGGAUGAUGACGAAAGUCCAAAGAUUUAUCGCCAGAGGAUGAGCCCGCGUAGGAUUAGCUAGUUGGUGUGGUAAAGGCGCACCAAGGCGACGAUCCUUAGCUGGUCUGAGAGGAUGAUCAGCCACACUGGGACUGAGACACGGCCAGACUCCUACGGGAGGCAGCAGUGGGGAAUAUUGGACAAUGGGCGAAAGCCUGAUCCAGCAAUGCCGCGUGAGUGAUGAAGGCCUUAGGGUUGUAAAGCUCUUUUACCCGGGAUGAUAAUGACAGUACCGGGAGAAUAAGCUCCGGCUAACUCCGUGCCAGCAGCCGCGGUAAUACGGAGGGAGCUAGCGUUGUUCGGAAUUACUGGGCGUAAAGCGCACGUAGGCGGCUUUGUAAGUUAGAGGUGAAAGCCUGGAGCUCAACUCCAGAACUGCCUUUAAGACUGCACCGCUUGAAUCCAGGAGAGGUGAGUGGAAUUCCGAGUGUAGAGGUGAAAUUCGUAGA
rnacentral:rRNA from 1 species